CGCAUGACGGGGUAACUCGGUAUGUGAUUAAGCAGAAGUCAGCAGACGGCAUAGUAGCCCAACGCCCAUCGUAAUGGUUGGGAUAUGGUGAAGGCC
rfam:Shewanella baltica OS155, complete genome.